GAGGCAGCUCGACUCGUAGUACUUAAAAAUGAGCGAGAGAGCAAGACAGCGAUGGUGAGAGAAACUGGAGGAGGUCAAAAAGAGCAUUGAAGAGCUCUCUGACAUCAUCAAAUACAUAGAACCCAUCAUAAUAGCGGAUGAUCUGACAUUUUUAAAGGAAUGUAAGGAGGCAAUAAAACGGACUAGCUACACUGCUCCUGAAACAGAAUAUCCAAAAAAGGCACUUAUAGAUGUGCUUCAGUACCUUGGAUCAUUAAAGCACGGGGUCUGGAAAAGAAUGGAAAGAGAUGUACACCACUCCUCUGUCAAUUUCGAUCCAAACACGGCACACCCUAACUUGAUCAUCAAAGAUGAACUCACCACCAUCAGCUAUGGGAAAAAACAGCAGCUUCCUGAUAACCCUGAACGCUGCACGAGCCGCAUGGCAGUACUCGCUGCUAACAGCUUCGAUUCAGGAAAGCAGCGCUGGCAUGUAUUGGUGGCAUACAGCAAAGAGUGGUACGUUGGGGUGGCACGAGAGUCAAUAAAGAGGAAGACUGCAGUUUUUCUCAACCCAAAAGAGGGUUUCUGGGUAAUUUCAAACAAUGAGGAAUCCUACUGGGCUCAGACCUCUCCCCGCACACGACUAACCCUGAAACCCCCCCCCACCCACAGAUAAUCACAGUUGAACUGGACUAUGAUAAAGGAAAGGUUUCCUUUUCUGACGCUGCAGAUGGUGGCAGUAUUUACACAUUUAAAGAUAAGUUUACUGAGAGAAUCUUUCCUUAUUUUGCCACUGGGAUAAAGGAGGGGAGCACACUUAGAAUCUGUGCAUUUUAAUGCAUGGGGCACAAAACAGUACAUUAAU